GCCUCCGUAGCUUAGCGGCUAGAGCAUUCGGCUGUUAACCGAAAGGUCCCCGGUUCGAAUCCGGGCGGAGGCG
rnacentral:tRNA from 1 species